rnacentral:rRNA from 1 species
AUUGAACGCUGGCGGCAGGCCUAACACAUGCAAGUCGAGCGGUUGAGGGGAGCUUGCUCCCUGAUUCAGCGGCGGACGGGUGAGUAAUGCCUAGGAAUCUGCCUAUUAGUGGGGGACAACGUUUCGAAAGGAACGCUAAUACCGCAUACGUCCUACGGGAGAAAGCGGGGGAUCUUCGGACCUUGCGCUAUUGGAGGAGCCUGCGUCGGAUUAGCUAGUUGGUAGGGUAAAGGCCUACCAAGGCGACGAUCCGUAGCUGGUCUGAGAGGACGAUCAGCCACACUGGAACUGAGACACGGUCCAGACUCCUACGGGAGGCAGCAGUUAGGAAUCUUGGGCAAUGGGCGCAAGCCUGACCCAGCCAUGCCGCGUGUGUGAAGAAGGCCCUCGGGUUGUAAAGCACUUUCAGUGGUGAAGAAAAGCGCGAGGCUAAUACCCUCGAGUCUUGACGUUAGCUACAGAAGAAGCACCGGCUAACUCCGUGCCAGCCGCCGCCGUAACAC